AUUGAACGCUGGCGGCAGGCCUAACACAUGCAAGUCGAGCGGUAGAGAGGUGCUUGCAUCUCUUGAGAGCGGCGGACGGGUGAGUAAUGCCUAGGAAUCUGCCUAGUGGUGGGGGAUAACGUUCGGAAACGGACGCUAAUACCGCAUACGUCCUACGGGAGAAAGCGGGGGGAUCUUCGGACCUCGCGCCAUUAGAUGAGCCUAGGUCGGAUUAGCUAGUUGGUGAGGUAAUGGCUCACCAAGGCGACGAUCCGUAACUGGUCUGAGAGGAUGAUCAGUCACACUGGAACUGAGACACGGUCCAGACUCCUACGGGAGGCAGCAGUGGGGAAUAUUGGACAAUGGGCGAAAGCCUGAUCCAGCCAUGCCGCGUGUGUGAAGAAGGUCUUCGGAUUGUAAAGCACUUUAAGUUGGGAGGAAGGGUAGUAACCUAAUACGUUGCUACUUUGACGUUACCGACAGAAUAAGCACGGCUAAC
rnacentral:rRNA from 1 species